AAUAGAUACCCGGGUAGUCCAUGCCGUAAACGUUGGGCACUAGGUGUGGGGGACAUUCCACGUUUUCCGCGCCGUAGCUAACGCAUUAAGUGCCCCGCCUGGGGAGUACGGCCGCAAGGCUAAAACUCAAAGGAAUUGACGGGGGCCCGCACAAGCGGCGGAGCAUGCGGAUUAAUUCGAUGCAACGCGAAGAACCUUACCAAGGCUUGACAUGAACCGGAAAGACCUGGAAACAGGUCCCCCACUUGUGGUCGGUUUACAGGUGGUGCAUGGUUGUCGUCAGCUCGUGUCGUGAGAUGUUGGGUUAAGUCCCGCAACGAGCGCAACCCUCGUUCUAUGUUGCCAGCACGUGAUGGUGGGGACUCAUAGGAGACUGCCGGGGUCAACUCGGAGGAAGGUGGGGACGACGUCAAAUCAUCAUGCCCCUUAUGUCUUGGGCUUCACGCAUGCUACAAUGGCCGGUACAAAGGAUUGCGAUACUGUGAGGUGGAGCUAAUCCCAAAAAGCCGGUCUCAGUUCGGAUUGGGGUCUGCAACUCGACCCCA
rnacentral:rRNA from 1 species